UACGGAGGGUGCAAGCGUUAUCCGGAUUCACUGGGUUUAAAGGGUGCGUAGGUGGGCAGGUAAGUCAGUGGUGAAAUCUCUGGGCUUAACUCAGAAACUGCCAUUGAUACUAUCUGUCUUGAAUACCGUGGAGGUCAGCGGAAUAUGUCAUGUAGCGGUGAAAUGCUUAGAUAUGACAUAGAACACCAAAUUGCGAAGGCAGCUGGCUACACGAAUAUUUGACACUGAUGCACGAAAAGCGUGGGGAUCAAACAGG
rnacentral:rRNA from 1 species